rnacentral:rRNA from 1 species
UUAAGUGACUAAGCGUACACGGUGGAUGCCCUGGCAGUCAGAGGCGAUGAAGGACGUGCUAAUCUGCGAUAAGCGUCGGUAAGGUGAUAUGAACCGUUAUAACCGGCGAUUUCCGAAUGGGGAAACCCAGUGUGUUUCGACACACUAUCAUUAACUGAAUCCAUAGGUUAAUGAGGCGAACCGGGGGAACUGAAACAUCUAAGUACCCCGAGGAAAAGAAAUCAACCGAGAUUCCCCCAGUAGCGGCGAGCGAACGGGGAGCAGCCCAGAGCCUGAAUCAGUGUGUGUGUUAGUGGAAGCGUCUGGAAAGGCGCGCGAUACAGGGUGACAGCCCCGUACACAAAAAUGCACAUACUGUGAGCUCGAUGAGUAGGGCGGGACACGUGGUAUCCUGUCUGAAUAUGGGGGGACCAUCCUCCAAGGCUAAAUACUCCUGACUGACCGAUAGUGAACCAGUACCGUGAGGGAAAGGCGAAAAGAACCCCGGCGAGGGGAGUGAAAAAGAACCUGAAACCGUGUACGUACAAGCAGUGGGAGCCUCUUUAUGGGGUGACUGCGUACCUUUUGUAUAAUGGGUCAGCGACUUAUAUUCUGUAGCAAGGUUAACCGAAUAGGGGAGCCGAAGGGAAACCGAGUCUUAACUGGGCGUUAAGUUGCAGGGUAUAGACCCGAAACCCGGUGAUCUAGCCAUGGGCAGGUUGAAGGUUGGGUAACACUAACUGAAGGACCGAACCGACUAAUGUUGAAAAAUUAGCGGAUGACUUGUGGCUGGGGGUGAAAGGCCAAUCAAACCGGGAGAUAGCUGGUUCUCCCCGAAAGCUAUUUAGGUAGCGCCUCGUGAAUUCAUCUCCGGGGGUAGAGCACUGUUUCGGCAAGGGGGUCAUCCCGACUUACCAACCCGAUGCAAACUGCGAAUACCGGAGAAUGUUAUCACGGGAGACACACGGCGGGUGCUAACGUCCGUCGUGAAGAGGGAAACAACCCAGACCGCCAGCUAAGGUCCCAAAGUCAUGGUUAAGUGGGAAACGAUGUGGGAAGGCCCAGACAGCCAGGAUGUUGGCUUAGAAGCAGCCAUCAUUUAAAGAAAGCGUAAUAGCUCACUGGUCGAGUCGGCCUGCGCGGAAGAUGUAACGGGGCUAAACCAUGCACCGAAGCUGCGGCAGCGACGCUGAUGCGUUGUUGGGUAGGGGAGCGUUCUGUAAGCCUGCGAAGGUGUGCUGUGAGGCAUGCUGGAGGUAUCAGAAGUGCGAAUGCUGACAUAAGUAACGAUAAAGCGGGUGAAAAGCCCGCUCGCCGGAAGACCAAGGGUUCCUGUCCAACGUUAAUCGGGGCAGGGUGAGUCGACCCCUAAGGCGAGGCCGAAAGGCGUAGUCGAUGGGAAACAGGUUAAUAUUCCUGUACUUGGUGUUACUGCGAAGGGGGGACGGAGAAGGCUAUGUUGGCCGGGCGACGGUUGUCCCGGUUUAAGCGUGUAGGCUGGUUUUCCAGGCAAAUCCGGAAAAUCAAGGCUGAGGCGUGAUGACGAGGCACUACGGUGCUGAAGCAACAAAUGCCCUGCUUCCAGGAAAAGCCUCUAAGCAUCAGGUAACAUCAAAUCGUACCCCAAACCGACACAGGUGGUCAGGUAGAGAAUACCAAGGCGCUUGAGAGAACUCGGGUGAAGGAACUAGGCAAAAUGGUGCCGUAACUUCGGGAGAAGGCACGCUGAUAUGUAGGUGAAGCGACUUGCUCGUGGAGCUGAAAUCAGUCGAAGAUACCAGCUGGCUGCAACUGUUUAUUAAAAACACAGCACUGUGCAAACACGAAAGUGGACGUAUACGGUGUGACGCCUGCCCGGUGCCGGAAGGUUAAUUGAUGGGGUCAGCGCAAGCGAAGCUCUUGAUCGAAGCCCCGGUAAACGGCGGCCGUAACUAUAACGGUCCUAAGGUAGCGAAAUUCCUUGUCGGGUAAGUUCCGACCUGCACGAAUGGCGUAAUGAUGGCCAGGCUGUCUCCACCCGAGACUCAGUGAAAUUGAACUCGCUGUGAAGAUGCAGUGUACCCGCGGCAAGACGGAAAGACCCCGUGAACCUUUACUAUAGCUUGACACUGAACAUUGAGCCUUGAUGUGUAGGAUAGGUGGGAGGCUUAGAAGUGUGGACGCCAGUCUGCAUGGAGCCGACCUUGAAAUACCACCCUUUAAUGUUUGAUGUUCUAACGUAGACCCGUGAUCCGGGUUGCGGACAGUGUCUGGUGGGUAGUUUGACUGGGGCGGUCUCCUCCUAAAGAGUAACGGAGGAGCACGAAGGUUGGCUAAUCCUGGUCGGACAUCAGGAGGUUAGUGCAAUGGCAUAAGCCAGCUUGACUGCGAGCGUGACGGCGCGAGCAGGUGCGAAAGCAGGUCAUAGUGAUCCGGUGGUUCUGAAUGGAAGGGCCAUCGCUCAACGGAUAAAAGGUACUCCGGGGAUAACAGGCUGAUACCGCCCAAGAGUUCAUAUCGACGGCGGUGUUUGGCACCUCGAUGUCGGCUCAUCACAUCCUGGGGCUGAAGUAGGUCCCAAGGGUAUGGCUGUUCGCCAUUUAAAGUGGUACGCGAGCUGGGUUUAGAACGUCGUGAGACAGUUCGGUCCCUAUCUGCCGUGGGCGCUGGAGAACUGAGGGGGGCUGCUCCUAGUACGAGAGGACCGGAGUGGACGCAUCACUGGUGUUCGGGUUGUCAUGCCAAUGGCACUGCCCGGUAGCUAAAUGCGGAAGAGAUAAGUGCUGAAAGCAUCUAAGCACGAAACUUGCCCCGAGAUGAGUUCUCCCUGACUCCUUGAGAGUCCUGAAGGAACGUUGAAGACGACGACGUUGAUAGGCCGGGUGUGUAAGCGCAGCGAUGCGUUGAGCUAACCGGUACUAAUGAACCGUGAGGCUUAACCUU